AAUCUGAAUUCAAAUUAGUCAGAAAAUUGGGAAAAUUUGUACGAAAUAUUUAAACAAAUAAAAAUCGCUGCGAGAUGUGGACUACGGACUAGAGCGGGAGGCUACAGUUUAAGCGGAUGGCACAGAUGACGUUCGCGACCCAUUU